GCUUACCAUGCAGUCGAGGGCGUGGGCCUACCCACGACCGGCGAACGGGUGCGUAACACGUGAGCGACCUGCCUCCCCGCGGGGGAUAGCCGGCCCAACGGCCGGGUAAUACCGCAUACGCUCGCUGAGGGGCAUCCCUCGGUGAGGAAACUUCCGGGGCGGGGAGAGGGGCUCGCGGCCUAUCAGCUAGUUGGCGGGGUGACGGCCCACCAAGGCGGUGACGGGUAGCUGGUCUGAGAGGAUGGCCAGCCACAUUGGGACUGAGAGACGGCCCAGACUCCUACGGGAGGCAGCAGUGG
rnacentral:rRNA from 1 species